GAGUUUGAUCGUGGCUCAGGACGAACGCUGGCGGCGUGCCUAAUACAUGCAAGUCGAGCGGAUCUUCAUUAGCUUGCUUUUGAAGAUCAGCGGCGGACGGGUGAGUAACACGUGGGCAACCUGCCUGUAAGACUGGGAUAACUUCGGGAAACCGGAGCUAAUACCGGAUAAUCCUUUUCCUCUCAUGAGGAAAAGCUGAAAGACGGUUUCGGCUGUCACUUACAGAUGGGCCCGCGGCGCAUUAGCUAGUUGGUGAGGUAACGGCUCACCAAGGCGACGAUGCGUAGCCGACCUGAGAGGGUGAUCGGCCACACUGGGACUGAGACACGGCCCAGACUCCUACGGGAGGCAGCAGUAGGGAAUCUUCCGCAAUGGACGAAAGUCUGACGGAGCAACGCCGCGUGAGCGAUGAAGGCCUUCGGUCGUAAG
rnacentral:rRNA from 1 species